rnacentral:rRNA from 1 species
GAUGAACGCUGGCGGCGUGCUUAACAUAUGCAAGUCGAACGAUGAAGCCCAGCUUGCUGGGUGGAUUAGUGGCGAACGGGUGAGUAACACGUGAGUAACCUGCCCUUAACUCUGGGAUAAGCCUGGGAAACUGGGUCUAAUACCGGAUAGGAGCGACCACCGCAUGGUGGGUGUUGGAAAGAUUUAUCGGUUUUGGAUGGACUCGCGGCCUAUCAGCUUGUUGGUGAGGUUAUGGCUCACCAAGGCGACGACGGGUAGCCGGCCUGAGAGGGUGACCGGCCACACUGGGACUGAGACACGGCCCAGACUCCUACGGGAGGCAGCAGUGGGGAAUAUUGCACAAUGGGCGCAAGCCUGAUGCAGCGACGCCGCGUGAGGGAUGACGGCCUUCGGGUUGUAAACCUCUUUCAGUAGGGAAGAAGCGAAAGUGACGGUACCUGCAGAAGAAGCACCGGCUAACUACGUG